AACGAACGCUGGCGGCGUGGAUAAGACAUGCAAGUCGAACGGGGCAAUGCUUGCAGCAAUAUGAGUGUUGUUCAGUGGCGAACGGGUGCGUAACACAUGGAUACAUUCCGGAAAGCGGGGGAUAGCCCAGGGAAACUUGGAUUAAUACCGCAUGUGGUCGAAAGACUAAAGGUGGGGACCGCAAGGCCUGCCACUUUCCGAUUGGUCCGCGGCCUAUCAGCUAGUUGGCGGGGUAAAGGCCCACCAAGGCUACGACGGGUAGCUGGUCUUAGACGACGACCAGCCACACUGGAACUGGGACACGGUCCAGGCACCUACGGGUGGUAGCAGUCGAGAAUCUUCCACAAUGGGGGCAACCCUGAUGGAGCGACGCCGCGUGGAGGAUAAGGUCUUCGGAUUGUAAACUCCUGUCAUGCGCGAACAAGGUUGCUGGGUUAAUAACCCGGCAAAUUGAUGGUACCGCAAGAGGAAGAGACGGCUAACUCUGUGCCAGCCGCCGCAGUAACAC
rnacentral:rRNA from 1 species